rnacentral:ribozyme from 1 species
GCCGCUCGAAACUUUGCACACCUCUACGCGGUGGGCGGUAGGCAACACAUGAGAAUGCGGCGGAGAUGCAAGU